UCUGCAGAGCAAAAAGAAAGUUUAGGGUUUCUUAGUUUCUGCACUGUAAUGGCUUCUUCUUCUUCUCCAAAAAUCCACCUCUUCAAGAAAUCAGCAAUUGAAGCUGGAACCCCUGAAGAUUACUAUCUGGAUCAUCGGAUAACUUGAUGAAGAUAGCAUCUGAUUGGAGUGUUGUUGAACAUGAAGAUGUUCUUGAGUUGAGUUUCAAUAUGUUUGGGAUUGGAGAACGAGUUUUCGUGGUGGCAAAACAACACAUUAUUUAUAUUGUAGGAAACGGGCGCUGCUCGUUUUGAACAUAAGGAUGGGAUGAAGAACUUUAGUAUUGAAAUGAAUCCAAAAUUCCUCAACUUUCGAAUUAAGAAUGAAUCUUACAAAAUGUCUGGAAACGGUAUUGGAAAGCUGUUCGUUAAUAAAUUCAAGUUGAAGGAAAAAGGAGGAAGAAUCUCUUAUCUGGAUUAGUAGAGUGGUAAAUUAAGGGAAAUGGAAGGUGGUCUAGUCUUUUAGUUUUCAAGCUUGUUGCUGCUGUCUUUUGAUGUUUCUUUCUAGUUUUUCAUCUUGUUUUAGGGUUAUUUAUGUCUUUGAUAUUUCAGUUUUAGGGGUUCUGGUAGUUGUUUUGAGGUUGAUAAUUUGAUGAUCAGGCGGAGCUCAUAAUAUGAAUUUCAAUAUGUAAUCAAUCAUCCAAACAACUACAACAGUAUCUUUAGUA